GUAACCUGUCUGUAAGAAAGGGAAUAAAAGAAAAGGUCCGGGACUUUCCUAGGACGCCUCUCUGCAGCACCGUCUCUGUUUCCCGUUACUACAUCUGGUGACCCCGACGUGAUCCAGACACAAGACCCCCGACUCAUCGGCUGGCUUAGCCUUGGUGCACCACAGCGCAACGCGCUCCCUCAUUGCUGCGGUCUUACAACACAUUCGAACCCACAAGCCGACCCUUUUUAUCUAGAGCCCAGCGCCAUUAUCGACAGACCGAGCCCCUUCCAGCGCCGAAGGUGAUAUAUCGCAAGCUGCCAGGACCAGAGUGGAGCCUGCCCGUGCCGCUCAUUACCUGGGGCCGGGGCUACGCAGCGGUGU